rnacentral:rRNA from 1 species
AUUGAACGCUGGCGGCAGGCCUAACACAUGCAAGUCGAACGGUAACAGGAAGAAGCUUGCUUCUUUGCUGACGAGUGGCGGACGGGUGAGUAAUGUCUGGGAAACUGCCUGAUGGAGGGGGAUAACUACUGGAAACGGUAGCUAAUACCGCAUAACGUCGCAAGACCAAAGAGGGGGACCUUCGGGCCUCUUGCCAUCGGAUGUGCCCAGAUGGGAUUAGCUAGUAGGUGGGGUAACGGCUCACCUAGGCGACGAUCCCUAGCUGGUCUGAGAGGAUGACCAGCCAACACGGGACUGGGACAAGGUCCCGAAUCCUAAGGGAGGCAGGAGUGGGGAAAAUUGGCAAAUGGGGGCAAGCCUGAUGCAGCCAUGCCGCGUGUAUGAAGAAGGCCUUCGGGUUGUAAAGUACUUUCAGCGGGGAGGAAGGGAGUAAAGUUAAUACCCUUGCUCAUUGACGUUACCCGCAGAAGAAGCACCGGCUAACUCCGUG